rnacentral:RNase_P_RNA from 1 species
CGAGCCGGCCGGGCGGUCGCGUCGGGGGGUCUUCGGAUCUCCCGCCGAGGAAAGUCCGGGCUCCACAGGGCAGGGUGGUCGGUAACACCGACCCGGGGCGACCCGCGGGACAGUGCCACAGAGAACAGACCGCCCCGCGCUCCCAGGAGCGCAGGGUAAGGGUGAAACGGUGAGGUAAGAGCUCACCAGCGCCCGGAGCGAUCCGGGCGGCUAGGUAAACCCCACCCGGAGCAAGACCAGACAGCGGAUGCACGAGGGCUGCCCGCCCGAGUCCGCGGGUAGGUCGCUAGAGGGCGCCGGCAACGGCCCCCCAAGAUGGAUGACCGCCAAGGAGACGUCGGCAACGACCCUCCAGAACAGAACCCGGCUUACAGGCCGCCUCGUCCG